AGUGAACGCUGGCGGUAGGCCUAACACAUGCAAGUCGAACGGCAGCACAGUAAGAGCUUGCUCUUACGGGUGGCGAGUGGCGGACGGGUGAGGAAUACAUCGGAAUCUACUUUUUCGUGGGGGAUAACGUAGGGAAACUUACGCUAAUACCGCAUACGACCUACGGGUGAAAGCAGGGGAUCUUCGGACCUUGCGCGAUUGAAUGAGCCGAUGUCGGAUUAGCUAGUUGGCGGGGUAAAGGCCCACCAAGGCGACGAUCCGUAGCUGGUCUGAGAGGAUGAUCAGCCACACUGGAACUGAGACACGGUCCAGACUCCUACGGGAGGCAGCAGUGGGGAAUAUUGGACAAUGGGCGAAAGCCUGAUCCAGCAAUACCGCGUGGGUGAAGAAGGCCUUCGGGUUGUAAAGCCCUUUUGUUGGGAAAGAAAAGCAGCAGGUUAAUACCCCGCUGUUCUGACGGUACCCAAAGAAUAAGCACCGGCUAACUUCGUG
rnacentral:rRNA from 1 species